GCUUACGACCACACCGGCCUGAGUACGCCUGAUCUCGUCUGAUCUCGGAAGCUAAGCAGGGUCGGGCCUGGUUAGUACUAUUGGAUGGAGACCGCCUGGGAAUACCAGGUGCUGUAAGCU
rnacentral:rRNA from 1 species